rnacentral:rRNA from 1 species
UAAGCAGAUAGUGAAAUUGUGUGGCUCAACCAUACACCCAUUACCUGAACUGCUAAGCUAGAGGGCGAGAGAGGUAGCUAGAAUUCCUUGUGUAGGAGUGAAAUCCGUAGAUAUAAGGAGGAAUACCGGUGGCGUAGGCAGGCUACUGGCUCGUCCCUGACACUAAGGCACGAAAGCGUGGGAGCGACCGGGAUUAGAUACCCCGUUAGUCCACGCCGUAAACGAUGGAUGCUA